AGAAAGAGGACCCUGUAAUGAAAGAGAUGCAUUAAGAGGGGCAUAAGGAUGAGCUCUCGAAAUUAACAUGUUGCCUCCUGCACCUUCUCCACGUGUACGAUCUGCUAACUCGGGAAAAGUUGCUUCUAGCCAAUCAAUGGCCAAACUUGAGCUGCUAUACUCUUCUGAACUUGACGACUUUAAACAAUGGUUACUAACAUCUUCAAAAAUCUCCUCAAUAACUGCCCAACUGCACAG
rnacentral:misc_RNA from 1 species